ensembl:snRNA U6 U6 spliceosomal RNA
GUGCUCGCUUCGGCAGCAACAUAUACUAAAAUUGGAAUAAUACAGAGAUUAGCAUGGCCCCUGUGCAAGGAUGACAUGCAAAUUCGUGAAGUGUUCCAUUAAAAA